ACGGAGCUCCAGCCAGGGCCGCGGUUCGCCUGCACGUCACGGCUACUCAAACCCAAGCACGUCCCGAAAGCGGUAUUUUCUGCGUCUGGGAGGUUUUUGCAUCCUCAGUUCCCACCGCUGGGGCUGGCGGCGACCAACUAAGUCCCACUUUAUCAUUAAUGAUGACAAUAACUAAGGCUGCCAGGAACAGCACAUCUGCUGAGCUUUAUCAACACCAGAUUCUCUCAUUUUGCCUUCUGGAUCUCCAUGCUUUUUUAUACCAACAAACAAGAGGAAGAAUAUUCUCUACCCACUUCCUUGACUGAAGCCUGCUCUUUUAUGAAGACAUGGCAUCUCUUCCAACCGUGUCAAACAGAUGCAAUUUAUAUGUCUGCUGCUUCCAUACCCUGAUUAAAUGGGUCAGUGGCAGAAUCAGUAUCCUUAGUCUCCCCUUUGGUUUCAAAUAUGUACUCCUUAUUUCAGUUUCAUGCUCACCUUUCUGUAGAGACCAAGGCAUCUGCCUUUGCAGCUUUACCUCUUCCUCCAGGUUAUAGUUUCCAUUCAUGGAAUCUUUUAGCUGCUGGCUGGCAGUUUUCCUGUCUACCUGACUUCCAUUCCUCUUCUCAUGACUUCAGCUCCCAUGCAGAUGUCUUAUCCUGACAUACUAGCUUCUCCAUUCUAUUUCUGUGUGUGUGUGUCUGUGUGUUUCCCUACUAGUUCAUCCACAUUUCCCUAUGGUCUUU
rnacentral:lncRNA from 1 species